AACUUUCAACAACGGAUCUCUUGGUUCCAGCAUCGAUGAAGAACGCAGCGAAAUGCGAUAAGUAAUGUGAAUUGCAGAAUUCAGUGAAUCAUCGAAUCUUUGAACGCACAUUGCGCCCCUCGGUAUUCCGGGGGGCAUGCCUGUUCGAGCGUCAUUA
rnacentral:rRNA from 12 species